GAAAAGAAAAACAGACUUCCUCUUCUAGCUCGUGAAUCCUCUCCUCCCAAUCUCACUUCCUCUGCAUCGCUCUCCACUCUCCGCCUCGAACUCGCUCUCAAUUUCCUCUUCUCACCAAAAACCCCUCAAUCCUCUUGCUCUCAAAUGAAUGCUCCAGAAAGACUUAAAAAAAACCCUCACCUCCGAUAGCGGUAAUGACGGUGAUGAUGGAGUUUGGAAGGGUGUCGUGGCUGACGGUGAAGGAUCCGCGGAGGAAGAUUUCGGGCCUUUUCGGGUUUCAGUUGGUGUGUAAAGGCUCAAAGGAGAAAGCUCAGAAGCGCUUUUUCGGAUGCUCAGAAGUGCUUUUAGCCCGUUUGAUGAUACAAAUUGGGAAAGUGAAAAUUUUGAACAUCUGUUUGAUGAGGCAGGUUGAGGUUCAAGGUGUACUGGUUGCAGAUAGCUUGACUUGGUCGAAAAUGCAGGCGGUUGAUGCUUCAGCGAUGAACACCGGCGGCUACGGUUUAGAUUCGUGCUCCUGAGGCCAAGUCACCAGCCAACCACUUCCGUGGCAUCGCUAGUUGCCUGGAGAGUUUCUUUUGCCUUCACCCACUCGUCAUUUUUCAAUUCCAGCUCAAACAGCAUAGAUAAUGCAUUUGGACUCUUGUCAUUCACUUUCAGGGCAUCAUUAACCGGCAAGGUGUCCAUGGCUCCACGGUAAUAAGCUGUAGUAAUAGUUCUGAAUCUCUCUAGGCCGGCUGUAUCCCAGUGUACGAGUAUAUAUUUCUUUGUGUCUGGCCUCUGGGAGCAAAAGUUCAGAACCUCGUUGCAAAGCUUUUGUACAGAUUCAUCAUCAGGCAGUUUGUUAUUUGUUGCAGAAAACAAGUCAUAACAGUUUAGAACCGUUGGUUUUGUGGAAAGGUAUUGGUCAAAGAGUUUGGAUUGUGAUUGUCGGGUUAAAAUGCUACUGCAGUAGGUGCAACAGUGGCAGGCGGUGUUGCUGCAAGUAAAACAUUGCUAAUGAUGCUCCUUAAAUUGCAAAUAAACUUGGUGAAGACCUUUGUAAAGUAAUAUCGCGAGAAGAAGUCUUCAAGUUAACAACGGUACAUAAACUGUGGGGCCUCUAAGAUCUUCACCAACCUAGAGCCUAGAAUCUGGGGCUGAGAGGCUAUCCUUACCAACCUCUUGGCUUUGCGAUUUGGCCUACUGUCUGAAACAUUUCGAAUGAGAGGUGACUAAUCAAAAAUUCUGCAGGAUUCUUAUGGUAAGUUUGAUAUAUUUCCAUCAACUUCUCAAGGCUCUCCUUCUAGCAGAUAUCUCCUUAUUCCAAAGUUUUCUUUCAGUAGCUUCAACCAUUAGUUUCAAGGAAACAUGCUUCAGGUUUGAACUGCAAAUACCACAGGUUACAAUUCCUUUGUCAACAUAGCUGUGAUGACUACAUGCUACAGCAUCUUAAGCUCUGGCAUCUCAGGAACUGAAGACCGAGUGGUUGCAAGGAACAAAAACAGGUUGCUUGAACCAGCCUAGGCAGAGAGGAUUUGUAUAACAUGGAUACAAAGGAGUCUUCCGCCAAUGUGAACAGAAAAAUCCUUCAUACUCACGAGUUCAAGUAACUAGUAGAAACCACCUUCAGCAGCAACAACAAUACUUUCAUAUGCAACUGAUGUGUAAAUCCGUGGCUAUGAGCAUGAACUGCUCCUCCCUUAUUAUUUGUUAACUUUGUCACUUUGUAAACAAAAUUGAUUUUUCAGCAUAAUUGGUCAUUCUUGAUUCUAGUAAACUAUAACAAGUUGAUCAAUUUUCCUUCUUUUUUGUGAAGGUUCUAUUAGGAACUGGAAAGCGAUGUUGAAAACCUUCUGUUAUGAUAUUGAUUUGUUAUCAUGUGUUGUAGAACUCUUUUUUGGAGUGAAUUAUUGGGAUGCUGGAAUUUAGAUUCUUGAUGGAGUUUUGAUUAUUCAUUAAGAUUGUAUUUGUAGGAUUUAUGUAAUAGGAUGAACUUGUAUGAAAAUGUUGAGAAAUGCAAUU